rnacentral:rRNA from 1 species
UACGUAGGUGGCAAGCGUUAUACGGAAUUAUUGGGCGUAAAGAGCGCGCAGGUGGUUGAUUAAGUCUGAUGUGAAAGCCCACGGCUUAACCGUGGAGGGUCAUUGGAAACUGGGUCACUUGAAUAUAGAAGAGGAAAGUGGAAUUCCAUGUGUAGCGGUGAAAUGCGUAGAUAUAUGGAGGAACACCAGUGGCGAAGGCGACUUCCUGGUCUAUUAUUGACGCUGAGGCUCGAAAGCAUGGGUAGCAAACAGGAUUAGAUA